UCUUUGUAGUUUGAGCGGUGAGACGGUUUUGGGAAGCCUCAUGCGGUCCCAGGGGAAGGGCUGCCCGUUGGUGGCUAUGGGAGGCUCUUUGGCUUGGUUCUGAUUCGGGAGCUGAGCCCCAAGUGAGGGGACGGGGACCAAGAGCAGCAGCAGGAGAGGAGCCAACAUGGUGACGGUGAAAACAGGAAAUCCUCCCAC